AGAUCCUGCAGGUGUUGUCCACAGCGGAUCCGUCAAUCUCUGGAAGCUCAAAACCCGACAGAGAGGAGGCGGGCCAAGCUAAUAGAGUGAAAUCAGAGGUCAUUUCAACCACUAGAUAUUUCCAACAGCUGCCAGGUGGACAAGCAACAUGCGACAAAAAAGCAUCCAGUUACGACGACAACAACACGUCUUUUCACAGCUUCCUCUCCUGGGUAGCAAACGGAGUCGAGUGUUUCAGAGGUGCUGGACUUUAUAUUGCAGUGAAAACAAAAGGGAGCAGAAAAUGGCCAGAAGCUGUUCGGGGUUGAGAGGGUUAAUUAAUCUUGAAGUUAUCUGAGCACACAGGUGAGACUGUCAUAACUUCCACUGUUUAUUUUAGUCUGGUACUUUUACAUUCACGGGCCCUAAAACAAAACAGUUAGAAGGAAACUUGGUUUAAU